UACAGAGGGUGCGAGCGUUAAUCGGAAUUACUGGGCGUAAAGCGCACGUAGGCGGCAUUGCAAGUCGGUUGUGAAAUCCCCGGGCUCAACCUGGGAACUGCAUCCGAGACUGCUUUGCUCGAGUAUGGGAGAGGGAAGUGGAAUUUCCGGUGUAGCGGUGAAAUGCGUAGAUAUCGGAAGGAACAUCAGUGGCGAAGGCGACUUCCUGGACCAAUACUGACGCUCAGGUGCGAAAGCGUGGGGAGCAAACAGG
rnacentral:rRNA from 1 species